rfam:Ciona savignyi cont_2306, whole genome shotgun sequence.
CAAACGGCUCUUUUUAGAGCCACCAAUUUGUUACAAAAUUAGCGCA